rnacentral:rRNA from 1 species
UACAGAGGCCUCGAGCGUUAGGCGGAAUCACUGGGCUUAAAGCGUGUGUAGGUGGAGUUCUAAGUACCUUGUGAAAUCCCACGGCUCAACCGUGGAACUGCUGGGUAUACUGGUUCUCUUGAGGUACCUAGGGGCGAGCGGAACAAGUGGUGGAGCGGUGAAAUGCGUAGAUAUCACUUGGAACGCCAACGGUGAAAACAGCUCGCUGGGGGUUUGCUGACGCUGAGACACGAAAGCCAGGGGAGCAAACGGG